AGCUCCAAUAGCGUAUAUUUAAGUUGUUGCAGUUAAAAAGCUCGUAGUUGGAUUUCGGCUUUGGGCGACCGGUCCGCCGUUUCGGUGUGCACUGGUCGGCCUUUGCUUUCUGUCGGGGACGCGCUCUCCUUAAUUGGUGACGCGGAGUCGGCGCUGUUACUUUGAAAAAAUUAGAGUGUUCAAGGCAGGCUUACGCUCUGAAUACUAUAGCAUGGAAUAACACGAUAGGACUCCGAGCCUAUUUUGUUGGUCUUCGGGACCGGAGUAAUGAUUAAGAGGGACAGUUGGGGGCAUUCGUAUUCCGAUGUCAGAGGUGAAAUUCUUGGAUUUUCGGAAGACGAACUUCUGCGAAAGCAUUUGCCAAGGAUGUUUUCA
rnacentral:rRNA from 1 species